rnacentral:snRNA from 1 species
CCACUUACCUGGCAGGGGAGAUAGUACGAUCACAAAGGUGGUUUUCACAAGGCAAGGCGUGUCCAUUGCAUGGCAGUCUUGAGCAAGCCAUGGGCCUCCCCUACAUCUACAGAAAAUGAUGAAUAGGUGAUUUCUCCUC